UACGGAGGAUCCAAGCGUUAUCCGGAAUCAUUGGGUUUAAAGGGUCCGUAGGCGGUUUGGUAAGUCAGUGGUGAAAGCCCAUCGCUCAACGGUGGAACGGCCAUUGAUACUGCCAGACUUGAAUUAUUAGGAAGUAACUAGAAUAUGUAGUGUAGCGGGUGAAAUGCUUAGAGAUUACAUGGAAUACCAAUUGCGAAGGCAGGUUACUACUAAUGGAUUGACGCUGAUGGACGAAAGCGUGGGUAGCGAACAGG
rnacentral:rRNA from 1 species